AUUGAACGCUGGCGGCAGGCCUAACACAUGCAAGUCGAACGCAGUGGGGACGGGUGAGUAACACGUGGGUAACCCCCCAUCAGAGGGGAUAACACUUGGAAACAGGUGCUAAACCGAUACUGAUGGAUGGACCCGCGGUGCAUUAGCUAGUUGGUGAGGUAACGGCUCACCAAGGCCACGAUGCAUAGCGGACCGGGGAGGGUGAUCGGCCACACUGGGACUGAUACACGGCCCAGACUCCGACGGGGUGCAUCAGUAGGGAAUCGUCGGCAAGGGACGAAAGUCUGACCGAGCAACGCCGUGUGAGGGAGGAAGGUGUUCGGAGGGUAAGACCCUGUUGUUAGGGAAGCUGUAUCUAACCAGAAAGCCACGGCUAACUACGUGCCAGCAGCCGCGGUAAUAC
rnacentral:rRNA from 1 species